AUUGAACGCUGGCGGCAUGCUUUACACAUGCAAGUCGAACGGUAACAGGUCUUCGGAUGCUGACGAGUGGCGAACGGGUGAGUAAUGUAUCGGAACGUGCCCAGUAGUGGGGGAUAACUACUCGAAAGAGUGGCUAAUACCGCAUGAGAACUGAGGUUGAAAGUGGGGGACCGCAAGGCCUCACGCUACUGGAGCGGCCGGUAUCAGAUAGGUAGUUGGUGGGGUAAAGGCCUACCAAGCCUGCGAUCUGUAGCUGGUCUGAGAGGACGACCAGCCACACUGGGACUGAGACACGGCCCAGACUCCUACGGGAGGCAGCAGUGGGGAAUUUUGGACAAUGGGCGCAAGCCUGAUCCAGCAAUGCCGCGUGCAGGACGAAGGCCUUCGGGUUGUAAACUGCUUUUGUACAGAACGAAAAAGCCUCUUCUAAUACAGGGGGUGCAUGACGGUACUGUAAGAAUAAGCACCGGCUAACUACGUGCCAGCAGCCGCAGUAA
rnacentral:rRNA from 1 species